ensembl:lincRNA Ftx Ftx transcript, Xist regulator (non-protein coding)
CGGGAUUUUAUUGGCUGCAGACACACGCAGCAUCUUCUUGCGCUCCUCCUUGAGGUGGAUGGGCAGCUAGCUGGAGAUGACACAGGAUGAUGCGCAUCUUUCGCACGCUGGCUCCAAGAUCUCCGCUGCCAGUGACUUCAACAGAAGUGGAGUAAAUAAAGAUGAUCACAGAACUUGGAAGCUGACGAAAUUAAUUUUGGAAAAGAGCUGGCUUGGAGCAUGACAGAAGAAUUCGAUGGAAAGAGUGCUGGGAGCCCAACUCAAGACUGAUGUGUGCUUGGCAGGCAGUCUACCCCCGAUCUCAGUCCUCCAGCCUUUCGGCCUUUUUUCCUUUUUGGAGACAGAAUUGCAUCAUAUGGCAUCCUACACAGUCCUGCCUCAGUCUCUGCAGUGCUGGGAUUGUAGGCCUAUGCCACCUAGCCUUUCUACAAUACAAACAAAUAUGAAAAGAAGAGGGACUUCUUUGGAAAGGAGUACAGGGACUAUGGAAGAGAUGAAAAGAUAAUAUUGUCAGAAAUUAUGCCGCUUUUGAAGAGAUAAACUGAACUCUUGAUUCUGUGAGGUUAUUAAAGAAUAUUAAUUUUCAAAUCACGGUAAAAUCUUGAUUCAGCAACACAUGAGGAUAAUCAUUGUGUCCAUGGAAACCUUGGGAAGCAGUUGAAAGCCUGGUCCCUCUUGCCUGGAGCAUUAACACAACGUGGCUGCAAAGUUAGUCCUUUCCCGCUACCAUCUCCUGAAUACUGGGACUAACUACACGUAUGCACGAACCUGCCCAUCUUUGCCUCUGUUAACAGCUGCCACUGUCUCUUCACGACAUGAUGGCUGACCUAGGUUGGAAGGAACAGAGCCAGUUGGCCAUGGACUGAAACUUUUGGAACUGAUUCUGAGGAGUUAAUGUUUCCAUGAAUAUCUCAGAAGGAGAUGUGGACAAACGAACAGUUAUCUCACUCCUGUAGGUUGGACUACAGUGAUCACUGAGUAGGAGCUUCGUCUUUAAAAUCUGGGGUGUGCUGUUAUGCAAUCUUCUUUCCCUGCCCAGUACUGGAUCUGUGAAAAGCUGAAUCAUGAAUCAGUGAGUGUGCGGAUUGGAACCCAAGUUGCUCUCUGGAUAGAACGAAAGGAGUCGUGCCCCAAGAAGAUGGAGAGGGAAGUUAUGAAAUGCUGUGACCAAAUAACAAAUGCUGAUGUUUGGGGAGAUAACUGUUUCCCAUAGGAAAUAGAGUGAAUGCGAUGUCUUUCUUUUGUGAGGGAUUCAUAGACCGCUUCUCAACGCUUGUUACAUGUUACUCCUUUUUUCGAGAUUUUUAUUUACCUAACUGGGAAAGAAACCAGAACAAGGUUUUCAUUGAAUUCUGAUACAGGUAUUUAAAGACUUACGGACAAGAUAUAGAAGAAGAAGUGGUAAUUAACUGAUUAAAGAAGUACAGUUUAUAUCCAGUAGACAGACAGGCUCCAGACAUCCUUAGUGCUGUCUUAGCAUCAAAGGUUAAUCUACCUAAUACUUGUCAUCCUGAAAUGCAUGGUGGAACAUCCAACAGACAAGAGCUACUUCAGGGAAGGACUAUGAUUUUUGUCGUGGAAGACAUUUAACACAGGGCAGCUCCUGUGCACUUACAUGAUAGAUAUUGCUCUUCCGGGGACUCUGAAUGCUCAUCCCACUUUCAGCUCACUAGGCACAUCGAACUAGAAAUUUUAUCAUCUCGUGAAUUAGUCCAAUACCUGAAGGAGCAAGAGAACCAACACCCAGUUGACAAGAAUAUGACCUGUUGAUUGAAGACCAUUAAGAAAGUAACUUGAUUCAGUUGGACUGGACUUUUUUAUUCUAUUGAAAAAGGAAUUUAUUUCCCCUCAGUGAACGUAACAUGAUCAACAUUUUGAAAGUUGUGAACAUGCAUAGUUCUAUAAUUUACAAAAUAAUUAUAAAAAUCUGAGUAUGGAUGCAGCAUAAUUUCAGAACAGAAUAGCCAUCAUACUUUUUAUAUAUCUUAAAUUCGAGUUUUCAAGAGUAUAUUUCUAUGUUAUAUCCUUUGAUUAGUACAAUAUAAAAUCUACAUCUAAUAUGUACUUCAGGUUUUAUUAGAUCAUGCCAUAUUACUGUACAAUUUGGACUUUUCCAUUUUUAUAUAAAAUGUAACAUGCAUUGUACAUUAAUAUUUAUAUAUCUUGUUUAUUUAUAUAUCUUUAGAAUUAAUUUCUGCCAAUUAUUUUCUUUAUUUGAAUACUUGGGGUAUCAUAAAGGUGCUGUUGAGGUAUUCUCAAUAUGCUUGUACAACUUCCUGCCUGUAGUUAAUAAAUGUGGAUAUUUCAUUAAACAAUUGAAAUAUAA